rnacentral:rRNA from 1 species
CCUACGGGAGGCAGCAGUGGGGAAUAUUGCACAAUGGGCGCAAGCCUGAUGCAGCCAUGCCGCGUGUAUGAAGAAGGCCUUCGGGUUGUAAAGUACUUUCAGCGGGGAGGAAGGGAGUAAAGUUAAUACCUUUGCUCAUUGACGUUACCCGCAGAAGAAGCACCGGCUAACUCCGUGCCAGCAGCCGCGGUAAUACGGAGGGUGCAAGCGUUAAUCGGAAUUACUGGGCGUAAAGCGCACGCAGGCGGUUUGUUAAGUCAGAUGUGAAAUCCCCGGGCUCAACCUGGGAACUGCAUCUGAUACUGGCAAGCUUGAGUCUCGUAGAGGGGGGUAGAAUUCCAGGUGUAGCGGUGAAAUGCGUAGAGAUCUGGAGGAAUACCGGUGGCGAAGGCGGCCCCCUGGACGAAGACUGACGCUCAGGUGCGAAAGCGUGGGGAGCAAACA